rnacentral:rRNA from 1 species
GACGAACGCUGGCGGCGCGCCUAACACGUGCGAGUCGAACGGAGUCAAGAGGAGCUUGCUUUUCUUGACUUAGUGGCGAACGGGUGAGUAACGCGUGAGUAACCUGCCCUGGAGUGGGGGACAACAGUUGGAAACGACUGCUAAUACCGCAUAAGCCCACGGAUCUGCAUGGAUCUGCGGGAAAAGGAUUUAUUCGCUCUAGGAUGGACUCGCGUCCAAUUAGCUAGUUGGUGAGGUAACGGCCCACCAAGGCGACGAUUGGUAGCCGGACUGAGAGGUUGAACGGCCACAUUGGGACUGAGACACGGCCCAGACUCCUACGGGAGGCAGCAGUGGGGGAUAUUGCACAAUGGGGGAAACCCUGAUGCAGCGACGCCGCGUGGAGGAAGAAGGUUUUCGGAUUGUAAACUCCUGUCGUUAGGGACGAUAAUGACGGUACCUAACAAGAAAGCACCAGCUAACUACGUG